UACGGAAGGGGCAAGCGUUGUUCGGAAUCAUUGGGCGUAAAGGGCGCGUAGGUGGUUCUGUAUGUCUACCGUGAAAGCGUACGGCUCAACUGUAUUUUGUCGGUAGAAACUGCAGGACUUGAGGCUGGGAGGGGCUGGUGGAAUUCCCUGUGUAGCGGUGAAAUGCGUAGAGAUGGGGGAGAACACGCGUGGCGAAGGCGGCCAGCUAGACCAGUUCUGACACUGAGGCGCGACAGCGUGGGGAGCAAACAGG
rnacentral:rRNA from 1 species